rnacentral:rRNA from 1 species
AGUGAACGCUGGCGGCGUGCUUAACACAUGCAAGUCGAACGAGAACGGUCCUUCGGGAUGUCAGCUAAGUGGCGGACGGGUGAGUAAUGUAUAGUUAAUCUGCCCUUUAGAGAGGAAUAACUACUGGAAACGGUAGCUAAUACCUCAUACUCCUUUAAUCUUAAUGGUUAUUGGGAAAUGUUUUUUCGCUAAAGGAUGAGACUAUAUGGUAUCAGGUAGUUGGUGGGGUAAGAGCCUACCAAGCCAAUGACGCCUAGCUGGUCUGAGAGGAUGAUCAGCCACACUGGAACUGAGACACGGUCCAGACUCCUACGGGAGGCAGCAGUGGGGAAUAUUGCACAAUGGGGGAAACCCUGAUGCAGCAACGCCGCGUGGAGGAUGACGCAUUUCGGUGUGUAAACUCCUUUUAUAUGGGAAGAUAAUGACGGUACCAUAUGAAUAAGCACCGGCUAACUCCGUGCCAGCAGCCGCGGUAAU